CCUCCGUUCUUCCGCCGUUCGUACUAUUGGUCAAUUGGCGUAAUCCUUAACCAGCCAAGUAGCGUGCAGGAUGACGGCCCUACGGGUUGUAAACUGCUUUUAUACGGGAAUAACGCGCCUUACGUGUAGGGCUUUGCAUGUACCGUAUGAAUAAGGACCGGCUAAUUCCGUGCCAGCAGCCGCGGUAAUACGGAAGGUCCGGGCGUUAUCCGGAUUUAUUGGGUUUAAAGGGAGCGUAGGCCGCAUGUCAAGCGUGCUGUGAAAUGUCCGGGCUCAACCCGGGCCUUGCAGCGCGAACUGGCGUGCUUGAGUCCGCGGAAAGCAGGGGGAAUUCGUCGUGUAGCGGUGAAAUGCUUAGAUAUGACGAAGAACCCCGAUUGCGAAGGCAGCUUGCUGCAGCGGAACUGACGCUGAUGCUCGAAAGCGCGGGUAUCGAACAGGAUUAGAUACCCUGGUAGUC
rnacentral:rRNA from 1 species